GUUCAUAUAUAUAUAUUUAUUAUAAACAAGUUCACUAUAUAUAUACUUUCAUUAAAUUACAUUGUUAAUACAGAGACACGUCCAUUCUCUUUCACUAACUAUCUUCAAUUGUCCCGCAUCUACACAUUCACUCACUUUUAUCAUCACCAAGGCCCUGACUACUUUUAUGACUUUCUCACACAUUAAAUCGUCAUUCAUUUCCAGACCACACAACUAUAGGGACAGAAUAUAAACAAACAGAGACAUAAAUUCUACGGCUUCUAAUUAGAAAUGAUUACAGUUAAAACACAACUGCAU
rnacentral:lncRNA from 1 species